AGCGUCCAAGGUACAAAUAGUUCCUGCUGGAAAAAGGUGAGGCAAUAAAUGUAAAAGUACCUCCUGAGAGUGAGAUAACUGCUUCAUGUGCCGGUCGAGUUUCAUUCCAGAGAAGCUGGACGGUUCUUUUCUUCAGCGCUUCAAAAACUAGCUUGUUUUCUUCAGCAGCAUGGCAGAGCCGCAGAGAAAAGCAGAACUGCUACCUGAAGACAUUGGCACAGACGACUGCCUGACUUCAUACACACACAUCUACAGUCCAGAUUUACUGAAGGAUCAUGUUGCUUUCAUCACAGGUGGGGGAUCUGGGAUUGGUCUCAGGAUAGCUGAAAUCUUCAUGAGACAUGGCUGUGACACUGUGAUUGCCAGCAGGAACUUAGACAAGCUCAAAGAGGCCGCUAAAAAGCUGUCUGCUGUGUCAGGGCGCCGCUGUCUCCCUCUGUGUAUAGAUGUGAGGCAGCCAGAGAGCAUCGCAGCAGCUGUGGAUGAGACACUGAAAGAGCUGGGCCGUAUAGACAUCCUUAUUAACAAUGCUGCUGGAAAUUUCCUCUGCCCGGUUACGUCACUAUCCUUCAAUGCCUUCAAGACAGUAAUGGAGAUAGACACUAUGGGCACAUUCAACACCAGCAAGGUGGUUUAUGAGAAGUGGUUCAAGGAUCAUGGUGGAAACAUAGUAAACAUCUCUGCAACACUUGGAUACAAGGGGCAGGCCCUCCAGGUACAUGCUGGCUCUGCUAAGGCUGCAAAUGAUGCCAUGACCAAGCACCUGGCUGUGGAGUGGGGGCCCAGUGGAGUGAGAGUCAAUGCUGUGGCUCCAGGCCCUAUCUCUGGCACAGAGGGAUUCCGCAGACUGGGUGGCCCUAGAGGGGAAGCUGCUGGUGCCUUCCAGUCCAUUCCUUUGCAGCGAGCAGGCAACAAGACAGAGAUGGCCCACUGCACUCUUUUCUUGGCCAGCCGGGCCUCCUCCUACGUGACCGGUGCCAUCCUGGUGGCUGAUGGUGGGGCGUGGUUGACCUCAGCCAAUGAUGUCUCCAUGCUGUUGGGUAUAGCCUCCUCUAAAUCUGCUAAACUCUGAACAGGGGCUCUCCUGUCCUCCUCCUGACCCAGGUGUGUAGGAGGAGGUGCAGCUUGAGGUCCAUGCUAUUGGUCAUCUGAAAAGAGGGGAGACAAGUAAAUGCUGAAAACAAAAGAGUAAUUACAGGCCAUCUUCAGUAUUGAUAUGCUACAUGUACAUUGUUUGUGGUUUAUCUCACCAUUGCUGUCUUAAGAGUGGAUUGCUAAGUGGCUGUAGGAGAUGAACUCUAACAUACAAUACUUAUUAUAUUACAUGUGUUAGUUGUGGAUCAACUUAUGUAACAAUUCAGGGAUUUUUCACCCACUACAGUGCUGCAUACUAUCAUGCAUUUCAUGUACAGUCAUGUUUAUCACCUCAUUCCAUUUGGUUUUUCAGUACCUCUCAUUUAUUAAUAAAACUUUUAUAAUUAGUUAA